rnacentral:rRNA from 1 species
UACGUAGGGUGCAAGCGUUGUCCGGAAUUAUUGGCGUAAAGAGCUCGUAGGCGGUGUGUCGCGUCGGCCGUGAAAACCUGGGGACCUCGAACUCACUGGGCGUGCGGUCGAUACGGGCAUCACUUGAGUUCGGCAGGGGAGACUGGAAUUCCUGGUGUAGCGGUGAAAUGCGCAGAUAUCAGGAGGAACACCGGUGGCGAAGGCGGGUCUCUGGGCCGAUACUGACGCUGAGGAGCGAAAGCAUGGGUAGCGAAACAGG